rnacentral:rRNA from 1 species
UGGGGAAUAUUGCACAAUGGGGGAAACCCUGAUGCAGCGAUGCCGCGUGGAGGAAGAAGGUUUUCGGAUUGUAAACUCCUUUUAUCAGGGACGAUAAUGACGGUACCUGAAGAAAAAGCUCCGGCUAACUACGUGCCAGCAGCCGCGGUAAUACGUAGGGAGCGAGCGUUGUCCGGAAUUACUGGGUGUAAAGGGAGCGUAGGCGGGACGGUAAGUCAGAUGUGAAAUAUACGUGCUCAACAUGUAGACUGCAUUUGAAACUGCUGUUCUUGAGUGAAGUAGAGGUAAGCGGAAUUCCUAGUGUAGCGGUGAAAUGCGUAGAUAUUAGGAGGAACAUCGGUGGCGAAGGCGGCUUACUGGGCUUUUACUGACGCUGAGGCUCGAAAGCGUGGGGAGCAAACAGG